AUUCGAAAACCACCUUCGAAUCCGAUUUUCUCGAGUUAUAGACCACCUUUUCUUGUGAUUCUUGGCCUGGUGAGUUCACCUUGAGAUUAUUAACAACUCUCAAGAAGGGAUCGAGGCCUGAGGUUGAAGUUUUUACGUCGGAAUUCAAGCUCGCCGGAUUCUGGAAAAUUUCCGACCACGAAGACUUUCGAUCAAGAUAUCGCGAGCUGUAGUGCAUCGUUUUGAUUGAUUCUUUUUCCAGUGGGUUCCCCUUGAUGUUGUUAACAACUCUCUAGAAGGCAUCGAGGCCUGAAAUUGAAUCUUUGACGUCGAAAUCGAGCCUUGCCGGAUUCUGCAAAAUUCUGGAAUUUUUCCGACCACCGAAGCUUUCGAUCGGUAUAUCUCGAGCUACAGACCAUAUUUUUCUGUGAUUCUUGAACCAGUGAGUUCUUCUUGAGUUUCUUAACAACUCUUCAGAAGGAAUCGAAGCCUUAAAUUGACGUUUUUACGUCGAAUUGGAGCUCGCCGUUUUCUGCAGUUUCUCGCCGGUUUCUGGAAAAUUCCGGCCACCUUCAUACUGUUCAAGGUGAUUGACGGUUUGAGUUGGCGGACGAUUGUGAAUCGUAUUUUGAGCUGUUAAGAAGACGCAGCGGGAUUAGAGCGGGUAAUCCUACAGGUCAGGAGAACCAGGACGGUGAUCGGGCUGCUUAGAGUAGUGUUAUGUGAAUUACAGCAUUAUAUUGUGAGGUUUGUUAUGCUCAUUUAGAGCUUUACGAUUUUACUUUGUAAGAGUGAAUUGUAAUAAUUAACUCGAGGUUUUUCGAGUUUUGUGUUGA